rnacentral:rRNA from 1 species
AGAGUUUGAUCAUGGCUCAGAGUGAACGCUGGCGGCAGGCCUAACACAUGCAAGUCGAACGGCAGCACAGGAGAGCUUGCUCUCUGGGUGGCGAGUGGCGGACGGGUGAGGAAUAUAUCGGAAUCUACCCUUUCGUGGGGGAUAACGUAGGGAAACUUACGCUAAUACCGCAUACGAACUGAGGUUGAAAGCGGCGGACCGCAAGGCGUCGCGCGGAUGGAUGAGCCGAUAUCCGAUUAGCUAGUUGGCGGGGUAAAAGCCCACCAAGGCGACGAUCGGUAGCUGGUCUGAGAGGAUGAUCAGCCACACUGGAACUGAGACACGGUCCAGACUCCUACGGGAGGCAGCAGUGGGGAAUAUUGGACAAUGGGCGCAAGCCUGAUCCAGCCAUGCCGCGUGUGUGAAGAAGGCCUUCGGGUUGUAAAGCACUUUUGUUGGGAAAGAAAAGCGGUCGGUUAAUACCCGGUCGUUCUGACGGUACCCAAAGAAUAAGCACCGGCUAACUUCGUGCCAGCAGCCGCGGUAAUACGAAGGGUGCAAGCGUUACUCGGAAUUACUGGGCGUAAAGCGUGCGUAGGUGGUUUGUUAAGUCAGAUGUGAAAGCCCCGGGCUCAACCUGGGAAUUGCAUUUGAUACUGGCAGACUAGAGUGCGGUAGAGGAGAGUGGAAUUCCCGGUGUAGCAGUGAAAUGCGUAGAGAUCGGGAGGAACAUCAGUUGCGAAGGCGGCUCUCUGGACCAGCACU